rnacentral:rRNA from 1 species
AGUGAACGCUGGCGGUAGGCCUAACACAUGCAAGUCGAACGGCAGCACAGUAAGAGCUUGCUCUUACGGGUGGCGAGUGGCGGACGGGUGAGGAAUACAUCGGAAUCUACUUUUUCGUGGGGGAUAACGUAGGGAAACCUACGCUAAUACCGCAUACGACCUACGGGUGAAAGCAGGGGAUCUUCGGACCUUGCGCGAUUGAAUGAGCCGAUGUCGGAUUAGCUAGUUGGCGGGGUAAAGGCCCACCAAGGCGACGAUCCGUAGCCGGUCUGAGAGGAUGAUCGGCCACACUGGAGCUGAGACACGGUCCAGACUCCUACGGGAGGCAGCAGUGGGGAAUAUUGGACAAUGGGCGCAAGCCUGGUCCAGCCAUACCGCGUGGGUGAAGAAGGCCUUCGGGUUGUAAAGCCCUUUUGUUGGGAAAGAAAAGCAGCAGGUUAAUACCCCGCUGUUCUGACGGUACCCAAAGAAUAAGCACCGGCUAACUUCGUG